rnacentral:rRNA from 1 species
UACGAGGGGGGCUAGCGUUGUUCGGAUUUACUGGGCGUAAAGCGCACGUAGGCGGAUCGUUAAGUCGGGGGUGAAAUCCUGGAGCUCAACUCCAGAACUGCCUUCGAUACUGGCGAUCUUGAGUCCGGAAGAGGUGAGUGGAACUCCUAGUGUAGAGGUGGAAUUCGUAGAUAUUAGGAAGAACACCAGUGGCGAAGGCGGCUCACUGGUCCGGUACUGACGCUGAGGUGCGAAAGCGUGGGGAGCAAACAGG